rnacentral:rRNA from 1 species
CAGUCGCACGGGAAUACGUAGGUGGCAAGCGUUGUCCGGAAUUAUUGGGCGUAAAGGGCUUGCAGGCGGUUUCUUAAGUCUGAUGUGAAAGCCCCCGGCUCAACCGGGGAGGGUCGUUGGAAACUGGGAAACUUGAGUGCAGAAGAGGAGAGUGGAAUUCCACGUGUAGCGGUGAAAUGCGUAGAGAUGUGGAGGAACACCAGUGGCGAAGGCGACUCUCUGGUCUGUAACUGACGCUGAGGAGCGAAAGCGUGGGGAGCGAACAGGAUUAGAUACCCGCGUAGUCCCUGUCUCUUAUACA